AAUGGGGGAAACCCUGACGCAGCAACGCCGCGUGAGUGAGGAAGGCCUUCGGGUUGUAAAGCUCUGUCAGAUGGGAAGAACGUAGUAGGUCUAAUAGGCCUAUUGCCUGACGGUACCAUCAAAGGAAGCACCGGCUAACUUCGUGCCAGCAGCCGCGGUAAUACGAAGGGUGCAAGCGUUAUUCGGAUUUACUGGGCGUAAAGCGCGCGCAGGCGGAUUGGUAAGUCAGAUGUGAAAUCUCGGGGCUCAACCUCGAAACUGCGUCUGAAACUACUAAUCUAGAGUCUUGGAGGGGGAAGUGGAAUUUCGCAUGUAUGGGUAAAAUCCGUAGAGAUGCGAAGGAACACCAGUGGCGAAGGCGACUUCCUGGACAAGUACUGACGCUGAGGCGCGAAAGCGUGGGGAGCAAACAGGAUU
rnacentral:rRNA from 1 species